GACGAACGCUGGCGGCGUGCCUAAUACAUGCAAGUAGGACGCAGUUGCGAACGGGUGAGUAACGCGUAGGUAACUGCCUAUUAGAGGGGGAUAACUAUUGGAAACGAUAGCUAAUACCGCAUACUAGUAGAUGGACCUGCGUUGUAUUAGCUAGUCGGUAGGGUAAUGGCCUACCUAGGCGACGAUACAUAGCCGACCUUAGAGGGUGAUCGGCAACACUGGGACUGGUGCAAGGCUCAGACUCCUACGGGAGGCAGCAGUAGGGAAUCUUCGGCAAUGGGGGGAAACCUGACCGAGCAACGCCGCGUUAGUGAAGAAGGUUUUCGGGUCGUAAAGCUCUGUUGUUAAGGAAGCGGUACUUAACGAGAAAGGGACGGCUAACUCCGUGCCAGCAGCCGCGGUAAUUC
rnacentral:rRNA from 1 species